UGCCAGCAGCCGCGGUAAUACGGAGGAUCCAAGCGUUAUCCGGAAUCAUUGGGUUUAAAGGGUCCGUAGGUGGAUAAUUAAGUCAGAGGUGAAAUCUUGCAGCUCAACUGUAAAAUUGCCUUUGAAACUGGUUAUCUUGAGUUAUUAUGAAGUAGUUAGAAUAUGUAGUGUAGCGGUGAAAUGCAUAGAUAUUACAUAGAAUACCAAUUGCGAAGGCAGAUUACUAAUAAUCAACUGACACUGAUGGACUACCCGGGUAUCUAAUCCUGUUCGCUA
rnacentral:rRNA from 1 species